rnacentral:lncRNA from 13 species
CCUGUAUGUGCUGCAACAACAGCGUCUCUGCAUCCUGAGCAUGGGCCCCGCUUGGCCGAGGGUCAGCAGCGUGGUGGAGGGCAUGCAUUGGAAUACAGAUUGCCACCAAGCCUCUGGGGCCGUGCCCAUCAUGUAGCUGGGCCUGGCUCUGGCAGCCCGACAUUCGGCUGCCAACAGCUUGCAGGCCUGUUUGCUGCAUGGCUAGCAUCCUGUUUGUUGAUUUGAUGAGAGUCCCAGGCUCUCUUUGCAUAUCAGAACACUGGUCUCCCUGCACCUCGCAUGGGAUGACUGCAUCUGGACAACCGAGAUGUUCCUUGCCAUUGAUCAAACGCUCAGCAAGCUUAGAAAAUACAGCUGGAAACUCCUUGGAGCCCUCUGCCUGCUGCUCUUCAUUCACAGCCUCUCUCUGCAAAGCGGGGCUUUAUUACUCUUGGAGAAACACAGCUAUCUGUUACAAGCAUCACCUCUCAACCUGGGGCCCAGGGAGGCUUGAUCAUGAGAAGUGUCUCUUCCAUCCAGGAACCAAGUGCUCUGUUGAGAGAAGACUGAAGGCAACAAGGACAAAAGAAAGGAAGCCUGUCAGGAAGCUUCUGCCAUGGUCCAGGCCGUGACUGGGGACACUUGGAUGCCCAGCAGAGCUGGAUUUAGGGGCAGAAGAGCUGGGCAACUGUCCCAGUUACCCAUCUACGAGGGGUGCUGAAAGAUCAUGAGAAUAAAGCAGAAAGAUGGUGCC